CUCCCAGACUCCUACGGGAGGCAGCAGUGGGGAAUAUUGCACAAUGGGGGAAACCCUGAUGCAGCGACGCCGCGUGAGUGAAGAAGUCUUUCGGUACGUAAAGCUCUAUCAGCAGGGAAGAUAAUGACGGUACCUGACUAAGAAGCCCCGGCUAAAUACGUGCCAGCAGCCGCGGUAAUACGUAUGGGGCAAGCGUUAUCCGGAUUUACUGGGUGUAAAGGGAGCGUAGGCGGCAGGGCAAGCCUGAUGUGAAAGCCCGGGGCUCAACCCCGGGACUGCAUUGGGAACUGCCCCGCUCGAGUGCCGGAGGGGCAGGCGGAAUUCCUAGUGUAGCGGUGAAAUGCGUAGAUAUUAGGAGGAACACCGGUGGCGAAGGCGGCCUGCUGGACUGUAACUGACGUUGAGGCUCGAAAGCGUGGGGAGCAAACAGGAUUAGAUACCCCCGUAG
rnacentral:rRNA from 1 species